GUGCUUACUUCAGCAGCACAUACACUAAAAUUGGAACAUUGCAGAGAAGGUUAGCGUGCCUCUGUACAAGGGUAACACACACAUUCAUGAAGCAUUCCAUUUAAAA
rnacentral:snRNA from 1 species